UUAUAAAGAGCAAAUCGAAAACAAAAAAAAUUUACCAAACGAGUAAUUCAAAUAUAAUACUAUUUCAAAUAUUUCCUUACAAUAGUGGAUGUAGCCUAUUUUAACAUGAGUUAACCUACUAAAUUAAGGAGAUUUAUUUUCUAAGUUAAUUAGGUGAUUUACUUCAUUGAUUCAUAUAGUUGACACACACUUGUAUAAUUAGGAGAUAUUCUUCUAAUUAAUUAUUGUAUCUAUUUCCUUGUAAAGGACCCUUG
rnacentral:lncRNA from 1 species